ensembl:lncRNA
CCUGCUCUUAGGCAGGUCUUGUUUCGCAUCCUGCCCUGUUUGGGGCUCUGAACGUGCCCCCUUCCAAUGCUGCAGGGAUUAGAUGGGGUCUGGGAUAGACCUUUGGUUCCAUGGCAGGUGAUCCGGGAUUGUAGCAGGCAUUACUUACACUCACCAAUAUUUCUAGGUCUUUCCUCUUUUGUGGACACACAUUAGACUACAUUUCCCAGCAUCCUUAGGGAACAGCAGUGUGACCAGUUCUGACCAAUGAGCACUGAGGACAGGUGCUGUCCUAACAGCAGAUGCACAAUUUUCCAUGCUCUCUUCCUCUUCCAUAGGGAACCCUGAAGCUUCACAUCGAGAUGGAGGAGUCUGAAAUACUGAGACCUCAUUUGGACAUCAAGCCACCCUAGAAGGUCUCCUGACCCCCUAGUGGACUCUGUGGUUGAAAAGUAAACUUCUGUAGUGCAAAGGCACUGAGAUGUUGAUUUUGGAUCAGGCAUAGUGGCUCACACCUAUAAUUCCAGCACUUUGGGAGGUUGAGGCAGGAGAACUGCUUGAGGCCAGGAGUUUGAGACUAGCCUGGGCAACAUAGCAAGACCUCAUCUCUCCAAUCUUUUUUUUUUUUAAAUCAGCCAGGUGUGGUGGUGCAUACCUGUGGUCCCAGCUACUAGAGAGGCUGAGGCAGGAGGAUCACUUGAGCCCAGGAGUUGGAGGCUGUAGUGAGCUAUGAUUGCACCACUGUACUCCAACCUGGGCAACAGAGCUAGACCCUGUCUCAACAACAACAACAACAAAAAAUAUUGAGUUUGUUUGUUAUAGCAGCAGAGCCUGUUGUGGGUACAGAAAGAAAGUCACAGCUUUGGAAGAUCUGGACAUUGGUGAUGGAGGGAAGCUGGAGUUGAGUCCUGUGUGUAUAUGAGCGUGUGUACCUGGCCACAGAGGCUGGUCUGCUCAGGGUCAGAAAAGCCCAUUCGGGGGAUCAGGCUAGGAUACAUGAUAGAGGAGACACUCCUGAGGGGGUUAAUUUGGAAGGGGUUAGGACUGGACCAAGCUUGGGCACUGGAGGAGGCCAGAGUGGGUGAGGACCUGAUGCCUGGGCAGUGGGCUGGGAGGCAUUUCUGCAAUAGUCAAACUCCAACAGAGUUUCCAGGCUCCCUGACCUCCCAAACCUGACGGCCAAGUGUUGCUGGGGCAGAACUGAGCAGAUUCCCUUCUGCGGAGGAAAAGUCUGUGAGCUUGAUAACACAACAGGGUGACUAUAGUCAAUAACUUAAUUGUACAUUUUAAAAUAACUUAGGCCAGGCACAGUAGUUCAUGCCUAUAAUUCCAGCACUUUUGGGAGGCCGAGGUAGGCAGAUCUCCUGAGGUCAGGAGUUCGAGACCAGCCUGGACAACAUACAUAGUGAAACCGUGUCUCUACUGUAAAUACAAAAAUUAGCCAGGCAUGGUGGUGGGCUCCUGUAAUCCCAGCUCCUUGGGAGGUUGAGGCAGGAGAAUUGCUUAAACCCGGGAGGCAGAGGUUGCAGUGAGCUGAGAUUGCACCACUGUACUCCAGUCUGGGUAACAGAGUGAGACUCCAUCUCCAAAAAAAAUAAAUACAAAGUUAAAGAGUGUAGAUGGAUUUCUUAUAACUCAAAGGAUAAAUGCUUGAGGGGAUGGGUACCCCAUUGUCCAUGACAUGUUUAUUUCACAUUGCAUGCCUGUAUCAAAAUAUCUCAGAUACCCCAUAAAUAUAUACAUCUACUAGGUACCUACAAAAAUUAAAAAUGAAAAUAAUGUAAAAAAAGUCAGCCGGAGUGGUGGCUCACUUGUAAUCCCAGCACUUUGGGAGGCCGCAGCAGGUGGAUCACAAGGUCAGGAGUUGAAGACCAGCCUGGCCAAUAUGGUGAAACCCCAUCUCUACUAAGAAUACCAAAAAAAAAAAAAAAAAAAAAA